UCCCUCUUAGCUCAGUGGUAGAGCGCGUCACUAGUAUCGCUUCCUUCUUCAAAAUGCUAUUCUAUGACGAGGUCAGUCGUUCAAGUCGGCUAGAGGGAA